rnacentral:rRNA from 1 species
UACGGAGGGUGCAAGCGUUAUCCGGAUUCACUGGGUUUAAAGGGUGCGUAGGUGGGUUGGUAAGUCAGUGGUGAAAUCUCCAGGCUUAACUUGGAAACUGCCAUUGAUACUAUCAAUCUUGAAUACCGUGGAGGUCAGCGGAAUAUGUCAUGUAGCGGUGAAAUGCUUAGAUAUGACAUAGAACACCAAUUGCGAAGGCAGCUGGCUACACGAAUAUUGACACUGAUGCACGAAGCGUGGGGAGCAAACAGGA